AGCGAACGCUGGCGGCAGGCCUAACACAUGCAAGUCGAACGAACCUUUCGGGGUUAGUGGCGGACGGGGGAGUAACACGUGGGAACGUGCCUUUAGGUUCGGAAUAACUCAGGGAAACUUGUGCUAAUACCGAAGGUGACCUUCGGGGGAAAGAUUAAUCGCCUUUAGAGCGGCCCGCGUCUGAUUAGCUAGUUGGUUGAGGUAAUGGCUCACCAAGGCGACGAUCAGUAGCUGGUCUGAGAGGAUGAUCAGCCACAUUGGGACUGAGACACGGCCCAAACUCCUACGGGAGGCAGCAGUGGGGAAUCUUGCGCAAUGGGCGAAAGCCUGACGCAGCCAUGCCGCGUGAAUGAUGAAGGUCUUAGGAUUGUAAAAUUCUUUCACCGGGGACGAUAAUGACGGUACCCGGAGAAGAAGCCCCGGCUAACUUCGUG
rnacentral:rRNA from 1 species